rnacentral:rRNA from 1 species
CCUACGGGUGGCAGCAGUGAGGAAUAUUGGUCAAUGGACGCAAGUCUGAACCAGCCAUGCCGCGUGCAGGAAGACGGCGCGAUGAGGUGUAAACUGCUGUUGUACGAGGGUAAAAGCAGAUACGCGUAUCUGUCUGAAAGUAGCGUACGAAUAAGGAGCGGCUAACUCCGUGCGAGCAGCCGCGGUAAUACGGAGGAUUCAAGCGUUAUCCGGAUUUAUUGGGUUUAAAGGGUGCGUAGGCGGUCGGAUAAGUUAGAGGUGAAAUCCCGAGGCUCAACUUCGGAAUUGCCUCUGAUACUGUUCGGCUAUAGCUUAGUUGCGUUAGGCGGACUGUAUGGUGUAGCGG